UACGUAGGGACCAAGCGUUGUUCGGAUUUACUGGGCGUAAAGGGCGCGUAGGCGGCGCGGUAAGUCACUUGUGAAAUCUCUGAGCUUAACUCAGAACGGCCAAGUGAUACUGCAGUGCUAGAGUGUGGAAGGGGCAAUCGGAAUUCUUGGUGUAGCGGUGAAAUGCGUAGAUAUCAAGAGGAACACCUGAGGUGAAGACGGGUUGCUGGGCCAACACUGACGCUGAGGCGCGAAAGCGUGGGGAGCAAACAGG
rnacentral:rRNA from 1 species